AGGAUGAACGCUGGCGGCGUGCCUAAUACAUGCAAGUCGAGCGGUAAGGCCCCUUCGGGGGUACACGAGCGGCGGACGGCUGAGUAACACGUAGGAACGUACCCCAAACUGAGGGAUAAGCACCAGAAAUGGUGUCUAAUACCGCAUGUGAUCUUCGGAUUAAAGCUUCGGCGGUUUGGGAACGGCCUGCGCAUGAUUAGCUUGUUGGUGAGGUAAUGGCCUACCAAGGCGACGACGGGUAGCCGGCCUGAGAGGGCGACCGGCCACGACUGGGACUGAGACACGGCCCAGACUCCUACGGGAGGCAGCAGUGGGGAAUAUUGCGCAAUGGGCGAAAGCCUGACGCAGCGACGCCGCGUGAGGGAUGAAGGCCUUCGGGUUGUAAACCUCUUUCAGCAGGGACGAAGCGAAAGUGACGGUACCUGCAGAAGAAGCACCGGCUAACUACGUGCCAGCAGCCGC
rnacentral:rRNA from 1 species